CUGUGAUUUUGGCAUUUCUUAGACAAUUUUGGAUUAAUUAUGAAAACAACUACUCUCUGAGCAAU
ensembl:snoRNA SNORD58 Small nucleolar RNA SNORD58